UCCUGUUUAAGAGGUACAAAGUAACCUGA
rnacentral:piRNA from 1 species